ensembl:rRNA 5S_rRNA 5S ribosomal RNA
GUCUGCAGCCACGCCACCCUGAACACGCCCGGUGUCUGAGCCGGAAGCUAAGCAGGGUCGGGCCUGGCUAGUACUCAGAUGGGAGGCCACCUAGGAAGACCAGGUGCUGUAGUCG